rnacentral:rRNA from 1 species
CAGUGGGGAAUAUUGGACAAUGGGCGAAAGCCUGAUCCAGCCAUGCCGCGUGUGUGAAGAAGGUCUUCGGAUUGUAAAGCACUUUAAGUUGGGAGGAAGGGCAGUAAGCUAAUACCUUGCUGUUUUGACGUUACCGACAGAAUAAGCACCGGCUAACUCUGUGCCAG